UCCCUGGUAGUCCAGUGGCUAAGACUCCAUUCUCCCAAUGCAGAGAGCUCAGGUUCAAUCCCUGAUCAGGGGA
rnacentral:tRNA from 1 species